CAACACGGCUCUGCACACCUCUGUAGGGUUGCCUGGGUACUUUUCAGUGAGCCUAUUUUUCUUUGGAAAAGCCUGCUUCUUUGAAAUCAGAACUGUUUGGAGGAAAGGCUAAUUAAAAACAAAGCCAGAACACCAACGUGACCAGAACGACCAUAAAAUGAGAAGACAAAACGAAAUGCUUCUAUUGCCCUCAUCAGAAUGUACCUGUGCAAAAGCUUCACAAUUCUAAAUGCUCGGAUAGAUUUGAGAUGGGAAAAAAAUGGCAAAACUUGGUAUUUUCCCUGGGACAGGAAGACCUGUUCCAUGCAGCUGUGUAUCUUGCUGCUCCUCGUGUUAAUCUGACAGGACGUGAGCGCUGAUGUUACAGGCUGAAUGCGACCUGAUUCACAUCUCACGCCAAUUACCCUGACAUUGUCGGAACGGAGCUGGUUUGCACUAACCGAGGAAUAUGAUUAUUUUGCAGUGAUAUCAGCCCUCUGCCUCCCCCUUGAGAUUUCUGGCAUGGGUGAAGACUUGGAAUGAAAACUAACUCCUUCCCACUCUAUAAAAGUCACACUCCUUCCCUGCUCUAUAAAAGGGAGGGGAUUAACUCCUGUGUUUGUUUAAAAAAAAAAAGAUGAGAUCAUAGCUGGAAAAAGUGGAUUUCCUUUAUGU
ensembl:lncRNA